AUUAAUAGGUAUUUUCUUUAAAUUCAAAGAAUUUGGCGGUGAUUUAGUCUUGUUAGAGGAACCUGUUUCUGAAUCGAUAAACCACGCAAAAUCUUGCUCCUUUUUGUAUUCAGUUUAUAUACCGUCAUUAUCAGAUAAUUUUUAAAGAAUUGAAUUAUUAUAAUCUAGAUGAUGAAGCGUUAGAUUAAAUUAGAUCAAGGUGUAACUAAUAGAGGAGCUGAAAUGGGUUACAAUAAAAUUUAUUUAUUACGGAAUAGUCGCAGAGAAGAUGUGUUAAUAAGGAGGAUUUAAUUGUAAUAGGAGUUUAGCAAGCUCUAGAGAUAUAAGCUCUAAAUCAU
rnacentral:rRNA from 1 species